CAUUUAGUUGUUAGAGAUAUCUGUUUUCAGUAUACAUGAGAGACUGAUGAUUCAACAUUAUUUCACACUAACUCAAGAAUUUUAGAUGGAAGGUAAUUACCAUUGCAAUUAGUUUAUUUCUGGUUUGUUGUGGCAGCUUGCUGGCUUGGGGUACAAAAUAAGGAGACUUAAUAAGUUGGUUAUUUACAAUUCUUAGAAAGAGACUGCAGUAAGUUGAGGCCUUGCCACUGCCUCUUCGUAAUUGGGUGGCCUUAUGCUAUUUAUCAAGCCUCUUUGAACCACCAUUUCCUCAUCUGAAAAUAGGGAGUAAAAAUGAUAGACAUCUCAUAAGGUUCCUGUGAGAAUUAAAUUAGAUAAUCCAAUCAAAGCAUUUUAGCACAGUAUCUAGUACAUUAAAUAGAUGCUUAAUAAAUCCCUAUUCAUUCUCAUUACUGCUAUCUAAAAUACAGAUCUCAAAGAGGAGCUUGGAUUUAACAAUCUGAAUAUAUUUCUUUCUUUUUUGUUCCUGUUUAGCCUUUAUGGCAUUGCCUAUAGAGCUAAACAUUCAGUAUGUUUUCUAAUCAAGAGGGAAAAUUAUACAGGGAGAAAAAGGGAACUCUACAGAUUGGGUGCAGGGCUUGGGAAACAAUUUAGCCUUCUGCUGCUGUGAAGUAUAUUCAGCAGAACACUUGUCCCAUGAUAUGUGCCAAAAAAACAAAGGGAGUUGGAUGAUAUACAGUUUGGGAAAUAUAACUUUUUACAUACCUCUCUUUUUAAUUUUUAAAUGCUUUUUAUUGAAAAUUGAAGCCCUGGGAGUUAGACAGUAAAGGGAGUUUCAAACUUUAUUUAACCCAGAAUUUCCUAGACUUCUCUCACUGAGGAUGCUUCCGAAAAUAUGAGUCCAUAUUUUUUGAAAAGCUAAUUUAGCCCAGUCCCUCCUUGGGGAGAAAACUGAGACCCAGACAGGGGGAGGGAUAAGCUGUAGGUGAGAUGAUCCUAGGUCUAAACUCCAUCAAUGGACCCAGGCUAGGAUACUUGCACCUAAAUCACUCUUAGCUAAAUGACUGACAAUAGUGAUGGCAUUGGUCUGAAAAACCCUUCUUAAUUCUCAUCCUUCCAGUGCAGACCCCAAGUAAAGGGCCACAUGAGAUACUGAAGGCCAAGCAGGAAAAGCAGGGACACAGCAACCAGGCGUCCUUCCUUAGAUGGCGCAGGGACAGACACUCGUCCUGCCUGGGCAUUCCAAAGCUUUACUUAGAGAUGGUCCCUGCCAUGACACAGAUGCUGGGCUGGGCCAUCCCUCCACCUACUACUGGGUUAAGAAUUUAAAUGGACCAAAAUGAUGGGAUGGCUUGGAGGGGAGUUUUCCUAUGAAUUGGUUUUUUAAGGGUUUUAUUUAUUUAUUUAAUUUUUGGCUACAGCGUGCAGCAUGCAGGAUCUUAGUUCCCCUACCGGGAUUGAACCCGCCCAUGCCCCUUUCAGUAGAAGUGCAGAGUCCUAACCACUUGACUGCCAGGGAGUUCUCCUCCUACGAAUUCUUUAGUGGAAAGCUGGGGGCUUUCCUCCAGAAAACUUGGCGAGAAGACCCCUAUGUUGAGAAAUUGUGAAGUCGCUGACCCCCACAGCCCCUAACACUGCUUCCAUAGAACCCAGGCUUCAUCAGGGCAGUCACAAGGAUAGAGGCUGCCCCAGUUCUGGAGACAUGUGGACAGUGAAGGAGCCACAUCACGAGGGAAAUCCGGCUGCAGCUGUGAUGGACGAGAGACAGCCAAGGGUUUAUCACCACUGCCCUGCCCCAGACAGCAGAUUUAUCACCAUGGAACUGAUCCCACCACUUCCUGGUUUGUGGUUCCCUGGACUUUUGGAUCAGAUCAGUCGCUCAGUCGUGUCCGACUCUUUGCGACCCCAUGAAUCGCAGCACGCCAGGCCUCCCUGUCCAUCAGCAACUCCUGGAGUUCACUCAGACUCAUGUCCAUCGAGUCAGUGAUGCCAUCCAGCCAUUCCA
ensembl:lncRNA